UACGGGGGGGGCAAGCGUUGUUCGGAAUUACUGGGCGUAAAGGGCUCGUAGGCGGCCAACUAAGUCAGACGUGAAAUCCCCAGGCUCAACCUGGGAACUGCGUCUGAUACUGGUUGGCUUGAGUGCAGGAGAGGAACGCGGAAUUCCAGGUGUAGCGGUGAAAUGCGUAGAUAUCUGGAGGAACACCGGUGGCGAAGGCGGCGUUCUGGACCGGCAUUGACGCUGAGGAGCGAAAGCUAGGGGAGCAAACGGG
rnacentral:rRNA from 1 species